UACGUAGGGACCAAGCGUUGUUCGGAUUUACUGGGCGUAAAGGGCGCGUAGGCGGCAUGACAAGUCACUUGUGAAAUCUCCGGGCUUAACUCGGAACGGUCAAGUGAUACUGUCGCGCUAGAGUGCGGAAGGGGCAAUCAGAAUUCUUGGUGUAGCGGUGAAAUGCAUAGAUAUCAAGAGGAAUACCUGAGGUGAAGACGGGUUGCUAGGCCGACACUGACGCUGAAGCGCGAAAGCCAGGGGAGCAAACGGG
rnacentral:rRNA from 1 species